UACGAAGGGGGCUAGCGUUGCUCGGAAUCAUUGGGCGUAAAGGGUGCGUAGGCGGCGCGGUAAGUCGGGUGUGAAAUCUCGGAGCUUAACUCCGAAACUGCAUUCGAUACUGCCGUGCUUGAGGACUGGAGAGGAGACUGGAAUUUACGGUGUAGCGGUGAGAUGCGUAGAUAUCGUAAGGAAGACCAGUGGCGAAGGCGGGUCUCUGGACAGUUCCUGACGCUGAGGCACGAAGGCCAGGGGAGCAAACGGG
rnacentral:rRNA from 1 species